CGACCGGGGAAGGAUGCGGGGUGCUUACCCGGGAGGCGGGUGGCUUCCCGCGCAGCGCGAGCGGCUACGGCUCGCGAGCCGCCUCCGCCCAACUUUCUCCCUCGGCUUUCCUAGUUUAUUUUCUUUCAGGCGCCCUAAUGGGCGGUUUUGACUUCUUGGUGGCACUGCGUAAUAAGCCAGUGUCACCCCUCUGACUCCCGUCCCCGCACGCGUGAUCUUGUUAAGGAAUUAGUCCUUUUGCGCGGAGUUCGGUUGAAUGAGAAGAAUAGGUUGGCAGCACAGACUUGUGAGAGGAAGUAGAUGAAAAAGAGUCUUUGGCACUUGUUUAGCCGGAAUCUGAGAAUAAUUUUGGAAAGUAUUCUCUGGAACAAGGGGGUGGGCAGAAGCUGGCUCCUGUAAAAGGACUCCCUACAGGAAAACGGAGACCUGUAAUGUAGAACGACCGCCUCGCCUUACGGAUGGGAAGCUGAGGACAGUCGUCGCUGUAAAACUUUGACAGCUCCAGGAAAGAAGCACCCCUCUGAAACUGGCCAGUAAGUCGUGUGAGACAGUGAUGGAGAAGACAGUAUGAGAAACAUGAAAGUUUUCGUUGUCUAAAAGAUCUGACAAUCUGGAUCCUCAAUGUGUAUGAAGCAUCAAAGUCAGAAGCAGCAGGCAAAUUCCAUUCCAGCCUUGACAAGGCAAGAGGAGAGGCAAUAUGCACACGAGGUGGUGGAACUUUCCUGGACCCUCCCAGGAAGGAAGGUGAGAGGGAGCCAUGCAAGGGAGAGGAAGCAGUGGCCGUUUUUCAUUCACCUUAAUUUUACAAGCUAAGCAAUUUUACCUGAGCCCUGUCUUGCAUGCUGCUUGGAGAGACCUGUGCUACCCUGUGGCUUACUUCCCCAAACCAUGUGGACUACGUAGGAAUGGAACAGACAUUAUCAUCAAACAUACCGUUCUGAAGCAAGUGUCAUAGCUGGGUAAAGCUAGAUUAUGUUUAUACAUUUGCUUGCGAAAUUGUUGUUAGCACACACUAAAACACUAAAGUAAGCCUCUCUAAUGAAAAAGAGGA
rnacentral:lncRNA from 1 species